AUCUCCACACCAGAGGAGUUGCAGUGCAUCAUCAUUCCCGGUACGUGGAUCCUGGUCAUGACACAACUGGGAAUAACAACGGACAGAGACGGACUGAUCCGAAUCCAGUUCGAAGGAAAAUCCGCCAGGAGUCCCUCAGAGCUGCAGAGCCAAGAUGAACCGCAGGCCGUUCGGCCCACCAGGCACAGUCUGUACGGGGAGGAACGAGGCAGAUCAGUGAAGCCUUUCUGGCUGACCUACUGAGCAGUCCCACUGUCUGGUGAAAAACGUCAACUGUCCUGACACCCAUGGGUGCAGCCUUCCAGAAUAUAACUUAAUCGAUCUACUCCCUGAACAAAUAAGAACCAAGAAACGCGAAUAAUGAAAGAAAAGGUAACGGAGGUGUGAUUCCAAGGCUGGGGUCUCUAGAUGACCCGGGGUUGAGCUAGAGGAAACGUCUAGCCAUGGGGGAGAGCCCCUCCUACCUGUGAGUCGAGGGCCCCUGCUGCAGUACCUAUAAAAAUAUUUUCGGAAGAUCUUAUACUUGAUGGAUUAGCGGGGCAACGUAUGCGUUUUUCCGAAGGAGCUGUCGAUUUAAGCUGCCAUUCUGAACGAUGCCGUCACCGGAACCCUCAGUAGUCACAGUGUCAACACCACCGGUCACCGACCCAACACCUCCGGUCACCGGGCCCCACACCACCGGUCACCGACCCAACACCUCCGGUCAACAGUCCCAUCACCUCCGGUCAACAGUCCCAUCACCACCGGUCACCGACCCAUCACCACCGGUCACCGGGCCCCACACCACCGGUCACCGGGACCCACACCACCGGUCAACAGUCCCAUCACCACCGGUCACCGACCCACCACCACCGGUCACCGGGCCCCACACCACCGGUCAACAGUCCCAUCACCACCGGUCACCGACCCACCACCACCGGUCACCGGGCCCCACACCACCGGUCACCGGGACCCACACCACCGGUCAACAGUCCCAUCACCACCGGUCACCGACCCACCACCACCGGUCACCGGGCCCCACACCACCGGUCAACAGUCCCAUCACCACCAGUCACUGACCCAUCACCACUGGUCACUGACCCACCACCACCGGUCACCGGGCCCCACACCACCGGUCAACAAUCCCAUCACCACCAGUCACCGACCCACCAUCACCGGUCA